UUUUUUGCUUGAAAUAGCUUAUUUACCAAAAAGGCUUUGGUCAAUCUGAAUUUAACUAUUGCCUAUUUUUGACAGAACACCCUACUUGGAAACUUUUUAGGGCUAGUCUGACAAAACGAAGGAGGUAGUGGUGGUCCCUUGAACACCAAUGAACAGAGGAUAGCAUUUUUCCCCUCCUCCUCCCUUGCCAGACUUACCUGGGAGAUUUUACUUCCUAAGGGGAUACCCUAACUGCUAUUUUUUAAGAUGUUCUGGAUCUCCUUUGUCUUCAGCUGACUGUAUCAAAUGCACUUUAAACUCACUGGAACAGGAACUGUUUUGUCUGUAAAAUAAGAGUCUUAGUCACCAAGCUGAAGAAUUAUUCUCUCUCAAUCUCUCUGAGUCAGUGUACCUAUAAGUAUUUCAUUGAAAAUUAUACAGCUGCUACAGCAGUACCUGUACAGAGGUACAAGCCUGCUCCAGCCUGGUAGACAGAGCAUGGUCUUGGGAGACGGAUGACUUGGGCGCAAAUCCACUCAGGGAUGGAAAAAUCUUCCAGGUAAGCUCCCUAACCACAGGACUACUGGGCAAAACAACAAAAUUCCUUACCCUACAAUACUUACCAGCAAAUAUCUCAGUCGAAGCUCAUGUGAUUGGGUCUUGAACAAGAAAUGACAAAUCAAGAAAGAUGCUCUAAGAAGUGCAUCAGAAGAGAGAUUAUUGUUGAUGAUCAAUUUCAAUAUAAAAACUGGUAUUCCCUUGCCUUUCAUCUCAGCCCCAAUCGAUAUAAACUUACUAAAAUGUCACCAGGUCAUAGUAAACAAACUGAAGUGUUAGCAACUAUUUCACUUCUCUGAAAUAGGCAACCCUGGAAGAUUCAACUGAAUUGACUCAUUUUUUCUGGAGAACAACAAAUGACAUCUAAAUUUGCCACAUCAGGCCAAAUGACAUUGUAUGCCUAUUCUCUUGGCCACAGUUAGUAACAGGAUUGCCACUCUGGACUUGUUGCUGCAGAAAUGCUUGAAUGACGGAAAGAUGCAAACAUCUGACUUCAGCUUCUCCACAAGACACAAUACUCUGUUACAUGACUGGUAAAAUAACUAGCCCCAAGCUUGCAACUCUGAAGGGGAUAAUGAAUAACAGCAGUCGACAUAUAAAAGAUGGAGAAGAUUUAAUAUUUGGAGGCCAAAAUGGAGCCAGACCUCAGAACUGCAUUCAGGAAGACUAUUUAAUACAUAUUCUUUCACAUCUCAAGACAUCUGUAAGGCAACAAAAAAACCUGAGUGUGCUAUUUGAUUGGAGGUAUAUAUUUUCUGGCUUAACAAGAAAAAAGACAAUAUUAAGUCCAUUAUUUAACAGGAAAAGAGAGCAUAUUAAGAAUAAAGCUAAGAAGGCUGACCUCUCUCUACUUACAUUUCAUUAGAAAAGGUAAAAUAAUACAUUUUCACAAGGUUAUAGGUAUGCACAUCAGAAUAGAGAAAGAAAAGGAGUUGCAAGCACUUUGAAGGACAGAUUCAGAAUCAAAAAUUUUCUUGGAAAAUUAGGGAUAUAAUGCAUAAUGAAAAUGAUAGUAACAAAUAAAGGCAAAUGCCAAGUGCCACAAAUGAAAUUAAAUAAACAGAAAGAGUAGGAAAUAACUUGUAGGCAGCACAUCAGGAAGUGAAUCCCAAACAAUCCAAGUCAAAAAUGUAAUGCUACUGCAAAAUGGCUUUUUCUAUAUAGUGUAUAUUAACUGAUCUGUGAUAUCAAAAUCAUGUACUGUUCUGUGAUGAAACCUCAAUGGAGCACAUGCACAGUUUCAGGCACUGUCCCGGAGGAAAGAAACAUGUGGGAAAGCAUAUGGAGGACAACAGCAGUAAUGAAACAUUCAGAAAACAUGUCAUAUUAGGAAAAGUAGAAGGAAUUGGCUUUCUCUAGUCUAGCAAGGAAAAAAGUGAAAUUAAAACACAUUUAUCAGUCUGUAAAGUUCAUUAUAGAAGGAGACCAUUCAGUUCUCUCAAGGGUAACAGUGGGGGGAAGGACAGGAAACUUUAAUUUGCCAAAUAAAAUUGAAAAGUAAAUAAAACCCAAGUUGGAUAUUAGGAAAACUUUCCAAAACUGCCAUCAUGGGGAAAUUCUGGAGCAGCACACUAAGAGAUACUGUGUUUACUUUAUUAAGAUGUGGUUAGACCAACUGCUCCCUAAUUAGGAGCCAUGACCCCAGGUGGAGUCAGAGCUCAGUUACGAACAAAGCCUGAGGGACAGUCAGCUGCUGGAAUGCAAGACAAGGUGGAAAUCACACUCAGAAGCAGGCUGGCAAGCACAGAGAUCUGGGAACUGCUGGAUUAGACAAAUAACUGCUCCUCUAAGGACCUAUCUGAUAGCCUGAGUACGCUCGAUUCUACUUCAGUGAGUAGGGAGUUAGAUUAGGUCUUCAGUAUCUCCAAGGAGAUACUCCUUGAAUAGAUCUCCUUAAGGCCCCUGCUUGCCCUGCAUGUCUAGGAAAUUAAAAGUUCACAUUCAUCAAUUAUAUUAGGUCAAACAAAAAGGUAGCACUCCAACCAUUUACAGUCAUGGUAGAUUAUAUUUUUACAUAAUUAUGCAGAAAUAUCUUAGAUGUAAAGUCAGCAGAAAGUACAUCGUGUUCAUUUCUAGUUUUCCUGAAGAGAAGAAAUGUUUUGUUGUAUCACUGUGAAGGACCUCCUAUUCAGGAGCUCUGAAAGUGCUAUUUUACCAUAAAGAAAAGAAAAUGUGUAGCAUGGUGGAAGGAAAAUCUGAACCUUCCAAAGUAUGAUUACAAAGACUGCAAACACUGCUCAUACAGUGUUGUAAGCUUGUGUUUAUGUUCUGCAUGCUGCCCAUAGUCAUCUACUAGUAGAGGAAAAUAUUCUGGGAUCUGCAAAAGGACCUGCAUUAUCACAGAAUCAUAGAAUAAAUUAGGUUGCAAACGACCAUAGGAGGUCAGCUCGUAAAACCCCUUCAUCAAAGCAGGGCUAACUUCGAAUUUAGAUCCAACUUUGAAGUCAGAUAAGGUUGCUUAGGGCUGUGUCCAAACAAGUUUUGAAUAUCUUCAAGAAUGGAGAUUCCACAGCUUCUCUAACUCUAUCCUCCUACUGCCUCUAAAAAGACCCUCUUCUGGAAUAAUGUAUCAUUAAAAUAAGACAGACAUUGAACAAUUAUUAGUACACACCAGUGUGUUUUAAUUAAUUUUUUUUUCUUUUUUUAGAGCUUGGAUAUUUGGCUUAUGAAGAAGGUCAAAGGCACCUAUCCUUGUCUUUUACAGUUGUUUACUCCUUUGGGGAUACCCAGAAUAUCUUUUUUGGCUUUACAUGGCAGCAAUCAACACAAAGACUACAGAAUGCCUCAACCCAGGAAAAUACAGUUAUCUCAUGAACAACAAUGGGAGGUUUGCUAAUCCAUCUGACAGAGGCAUUAUACUAAAUCUAAUGGAGUUCCUUUACUUCAUUCAACCCCUCAAAGAAAAUGCAUUGGAAAAAGGAAAAAUGAUUUUAAUUUGAAGAAGCAGCUGAGAUUCUACAGUUGCCCUUGUUCAUAUACAACAUCCUAAUGUAUCAAUAGAUGGAUUGCUUAAAUAUCAGGAGUAAAGCUGGUAGUAUAAUUAUAUAUUAUUUUCAUGAUUGUCCAUUAAUAAUGCUUUGAUGACACUAAUAGCAAGAAGCUUGUUCUAAUAAUGUGUGUACAUAAUGAGAAAUAACAUGAACGCUGGAGGACAAUAGACAGUCAAGCCAAGACAUGACACACUCAGUGUAUGAAGUCCUCUCCCAAAUAGCACAGCUUUGUGUUUCAUAGGACACCUCCACAGUUACCAUGACAGACCCAAACCAUUACUACCAUUCCUGACACAAAGCUGGAGGAAACAGUGGACCACUACUGUACACCCUCUGCAAAACCAGAUAUCAAGUCCACUACUCUCAGGCUACAUUGCAUUUUCUUAUUGUCACUGGAAAGAGACAAGGACACAGCUGCAUAAGUGGGAGGAAUUCUGACAGAGAAUGGAAAGGGGGGAAAAGAGUGGAAAGGGACAGAAAGAAAGUCUUGAAUCUACAGGACAGCAAAUCUAUGAAGUUCUCCAUGAUCUCAUCACUCCACCCUGUAGAGAAGUAGCUCAGGAAAAAAUCCUGGGAUCAAACACAGUACCAGAAAUCUCCCUCAAAGCCAUCUCCAAAUGCACCAAGAAUGUCAUAAACUUCUUGACUAUGCGGGUGUUACAGGCUUAUGCUUUGGCUUUCUUUGAGCACCAGUAUCAAUUGUGACUGCAGUCUACAGCUGCAUUUUAUCACACACUGCCCACUGAUCUAUUCAUUCACUUGAAGGCCAAGAAGAAGGGUACUGAAUCCUAGACAUAUAGUGGAAAUUGAUCCUACCCAAUAUGGAGAAACUUCUUCACUGACAGAAGUUUCU